rnacentral:misc_RNA from 1 species
GGUUGGAUCAUUAAAAAAUUAGGGUAGCCCAACCAAAAAUUGGGCUCACUCCAACAUUUUGUGAACUGUUUAUUGUCUCUUGUGGGUUUGCAGCAGCUGGCAACGGUUGCUGCAUCCACAACUUUGAACCUAGUAUUAAUUCUUGCCUUUACUUGUCUUUUAUUAAAUUAAAAACAACUUUUGACAACGGAUCUCUAGGCUCUCGCAACGAUGAAGAACGCAGCGAAUUGCGAUAAGUAAUGUGAAUUGCAGAAUUCCGUGAAUCAUUAAAUCUUUGAACGCACAUUGCGCCAUACGGCAUGUCUGUUUGAGAAUCAGUUUAAUUAUCACUCUAUUAUUAGGCAACUAAUAGUGGAAGUGGAUUUGGGACUCGCCUAGUAAUAGGCAGACCUGGAAAUCAUUUGUUGCUUUGACCUCUAUUUGGAUCAGCUCGAAGGCAUGACCAAGAACGCAAGUUCAUUGAUUGCUGACAAGAGUUGCAAAGAAUAGUGUGAAUAGGCCAAAACUCUUUACGGAUAGGGCAACCUAUUUAAGACUUGAUCUCAAAUCAGACAAGACUACCCGCUGAACUUAAGCAUAUCAAUAAGCGGAGGAAAAGAAACUAACAAGGAUUCCCCUAGUAACGGCGAGUGAAGCGGGAAUAGCUCAAAUUUGAAAUCUUGUCAACUAUGGCACGAAUUGUAGUUUAAAGAAGUGUUUUCGGAGGUGGACCAGGCUCAAGUCCUUUGGGAUAAGGCAUCACAGAGGGUGAGAAUCCCGUACGUGGUUUGGCCCCACUUCCAUGUGAUACACUUUCAAAGAGUCGGGUUGUUUGGGAAUGCAGCCCAAAAUGGGUGGUAAAUACCAUCUAAAGCUAAAUAUUGGCGAGAGACCGAUAGCGAACAAGUACCGUGAGGGAAAGAUGAAAAGAACUUUGAAAAGAGAGUUAAAAGUACGUGAAAUUGUCAAAAGGGAAACACUUGAAACCAGUCUUGCUGGUAGAAUCCCAAAUAGUCUAACGACUAGUAUAUGUUUCUGCUAGCAGGUCAACAUCGGUUUUGAUUGGAGUAUAAAGCCUUGGGAAGGUGGCGACUUGUCGUGUUAUAGCCCAAGGUUCUGCUCUGAUCGAGACCGAGGAAUGCAGUGUAGCCUUGGGGACCCGGCAGCCAAGUGAUGCCUGAUUAUGGACAACUUGUUGAUCAUGAACAGUAUAAGCUUGCUCUGUCGGUUUACCACACCUAUGCUUAGGAUGUUGACAUAAUGGUUUUAAAUGACCCGUCUUGAAACACGGACCAAGGAGUCUAACACAUAUGCGAGUUUUUGGGUGGUAAACCCGGGAAGCGUAAUGAAAGUAUUAAGGUGGGAACCGUAAGGUGCACCAUCGACCGGUCUGGAUAUCUUUUGAUAGAUCUGAGUAAGAGCAUAUUUGUUAGGACCCGAAAGAUGGUGAACUAUGCCUGAAUAGGGUGAAGCCAGAGGAAACUCUGGUGGAGGCUCGUAGCGAUUCUGACGUAACAUCGAUGUGUGCGUUGAAGAGUGACCCGAGAGGGAAGCUAGUGGGGAUGCAAGUCCCUGCGACACUAUCAAAUUGCGGGAAAGUCCUAAAGCUUGUCUAACUAACCAUGCGUGGAAACACAGUGUGGGGCCAGGGUAAUGACCUCGGGUAUAGUAAAAUCAGACAAGAUAUUACAAUGGGCAAUCCGCAGCGAAGUCCUAAACUCGCAAGAGCAUGGAACGCGUUCAGAGACUAGAUGGUAGUGGGCAGUAGUAAUGCUGCUUAAGGUAUAGUCCAACUGCCUUUGAAAGAAGGCCAAGGUUUAGGAAUCGACUGCGAACGCGGUUGAGGAGAGACUCCUUGCGAUCACUUGCAGUGGUUGAGAUUAAUGGCAAAUCGAUCGUCAAAUUUGGGUAUAGGGGCGAAAGACUAAUCGAACCGUCUAAUGGCUGGUUCCCUC